AAAUUCUGGUUUCCAGACCACAGUGAUAGUCCCCCUCAUCCUCAGGCUGGGCCCCCGAGAUGGUGAGGACAGCUUUGUCCCCAGAGAUGGAUCCAGAGA